GAUGAACGCUGGCGGCGUGCCUAAUACAUGCAAGUCGAGCGAACAGACGAGGAGCUUGCUCCUCUGACGUUAGCGGCGAAUGGGUGAGUAAUACGUGGCUAACCUCCCUAUAAUACUGGGAUAACUUCGGGAAACCGGAGCUAAUACCGGAUAAUCUUUUGAACCGCAUGGUUCAAUCGUGAAAGACGGUUUUGCUGUCACUUAUAGAUGGAUCCGCGCCGCAUUGGCUAGUCGGUAGGGUAACGGCAUACCAAGGCGACGAUGCGGAGCCGACCUGAUAGAGGGGUCGCCCACCCGGGAACGGAGACAGGCACCAGACUACUACGGGAGGCAGCAGAAGGGAAUCUUCAGCAAUGGGCGAAACCCUAACGGAACGACGGCACGUGAGUGAUGAAGGUCUUCGGGUCGUGAUACUCUGUUUUUAGGGAUAAACAAAUGUGUAAGUAAAUAUGCGCGACUUGACGGUACCUAAAGAAGAAGCAACGGCUAACUACGUG
rnacentral:rRNA from 1 species